AUUGAACGCUGGCGGCAUGCUUUACACAUGCAAGUCGAACGGCAGCGCGGGCUUCGGCCUGGCGGCGAGUGGCGAACGGGUGAGUAAUACAUCGGAACGUGCCCAGUAGUGGGGGAUAGCUCGGCGAAAGCCGGAUUAAUACCGCAUACGACCUGAGGGUGAAAGCGGGGGAUCUUCGGACCUCGCGCUAUUGGAGCGGCCGAUGGCAGAUUAGCUAGUUGGUGGGGUAAAGGCCUACCAAGGCGACGAUCUGUAGCUGGUCUGAGAGGACGACCAGCCACACUGGGACUGAGACACGGCCCAGACUCCUACGGGAGGCAGCAGUGGGGAAUUCUGGACAAUGGGCGAAAGCCUGAUCCAGCAAUGCCGCGUGUGUGAUGAAGGCCUUCGGGUUGUAAAGCACUUUUGGCGGGAACGAAAAGGACUGUGCCAAUACCACGGUUCGAUGACG
rnacentral:rRNA from 1 species